rnacentral:rRNA from 1 species
GACGAACGCUGGCGGCGUGCUUAACACAUGCAAGUCGAGCGAAGCGGCGGACGGGUGAGUAACACGUGAGUAACCUGCCUUAGACAUUGGGAUAGCCUCGGGAAACCGGGAUUAAUACCAAAUGGUCUAAGAUGGGCUCGCGUCCCAUUAGCUAGUUGGUGGGUAACGGCCCACCAAUGCGACGAUGGGUAGCCGGCAUGAGAGGGUGGACGGACACAUUGGAACGGGGAAACGGUGCAAAAUCUACGGGAGGCAGCAGUGGGGAAUAUUGCACAAUGGAGGGAACGAUGAUGGAGCGACGCCGGGUGAACGAAGAAGGCUGUCGAGUAGGAAAGUUCUUUUAUAUGGGAAGCGGUACCAUAAGAAAAAGCCCCGGCUAACUACGUGCCAGCAGCCGCGGUAAUUC